rnacentral:lncRNA from 1 species
UUAGGUGCUCUCCUUUCCUAGAGAUCUCAAAAGAAAGAGAAUGAAAUAAAAAAAUGAUUAAUGCAUAUGGAAAAAGCUCUUACCUUUCGAUUUUUUCCAUUUGUCGUCUAUUGUCUGUCGAUUUCCCUCUAUGUUCCAUCAUUUUUCAUCGGUUUUUCUUCUAUUUUCUUCAUCUAAAGAGUCUCAAUUGAGUGGAAAGUUUGCAGUGGUUGAAUAAGGAAGCUUAGACACUAGGAUUUCUGCUUGGGAGGAAUGGGAAGGGCUCAAUCGGGUUGGAGGGUUAGAGCAGCCGAAUAGGGAAGCUUAGAUGUUAGCUAGGAGAAAGUCAAAACACCAGGACCAAGUGAACCAGGGCAAAUCUUAGAGCAUAUGCACAUUGGAUAGCAUGCAAUCACGAAUUGAUUAAAUACAAUGGGUAACGUGGCCUCUUAUCCAUUGUAGGAUUUGGCACAAUCCAAUUGCACCUAGUGUGUGCAAUACGUAGACCGCUUCUGCUUGGGAG